GUCUACGGCCAUAUCACGUUGAAAACACCGGUUCUUAUCCGAUCACCGAAGUUAAGCAACGUCGAGCCCGGUUAGUACUUGGAUGGGUGACCGCCUGGGAAUACCGGGUGCUGUAGGCU
rnacentral:rRNA from 1 species